rnacentral:tRNA from 1 species
UAUAAUAUGUCUUAGUACGAAAGGAUUAGAUAUUUAAUUUAAAAUUUUCAAAAUGAAUAAUAU